rnacentral:snRNA from 1 species
CUCGCUUCAGCAAGAGUUAGACUAAAAUUGGAAUGAAACAGAGAGGAUCGGCCUGGCCCCCGCACAAGGAUGACAUGCAAACUCGUGAAGUGUUCCAUUUUCAU